rnacentral:rRNA from 1 species
GAUGAACGCUAGCGGCAGGCUUAAUACAUGCAAGUCGAACGGCAAGGACUUUCGGGUCCCUAGAGUGGCGCACGGGUGAGUAACACGUACACAACAUACCCUAUAUUGGAGGAUAGCCUUGGGAAACUGGGGGUAAGUAUUCCAUAGUAUUUAUUGGAGGCAUCUCUGAUAAAUUAAAGAGCAAUCGAUAUAGGAUUGGUGUGCGUCCCAUUAGCUAGUUGGUAGGGUAACGGCCUACCAAGGCUACGAUGGGUAGCUGGCGUGAGAGCGCGACCAGCCACACUGGAACUGAGACACGGUCCAGACUCCUACGGGAGGCAGCAGUAGGGAAUAUUGGACAAUGGAGGCAACUCUGAUCCAGCCAUGCCGCGUGGAGGAUGACUGCCCUCUGGGUUGUAAACUCCUUUUGUACAGGAAGAAACCUCCUCAUUUAUGAGUGAGCUGACGGUACUGUAAGAAUAAGCACCGGCUAACUCCGUG